GAACGAAAAAAUAGGAGUAAUCGCCUAUUUUAGGGGCAACCUUUUGAGACGGAAAGCAAAAAUAACAGUUUUCAAAAUUUUCCAGUGUAUUUAAUUUUAUUAUAUUUAAUAACCCCCAAAAAAAUGGCUCGGUAGAAAGAGAGUUAAUUCCAAUCUCACCAUGAAAUGUCUAUUUUGAGAAAUUAUUAAUAGGAUACAGCCAGGCUCUGUUUUUCACUUACUUUUGCGAACAGCUGACCUGGCACAGAACUAGGCCCAUUUGGCUGCGGUUUUACCGCGUAUCGGUGAAGCAAAAUAUUAUGGAGCACACUCGACAUUUGACCUUGCACCAUCGAACCGUUAAAAGCAUUAAACGAAUGACAAUUGCUUAUGUGUGUCCUUUACUUGUCUCUUGUUCUGUUUUUCCC
rnacentral:sRNA from 1 species